CAAUAGCGUAUAUUAAAGUUGUUGCAGUUAAAAAGCUCGUAGUUGAAUUUUUGCUUGCCGCCGAUGUCGGAACUUCCGUACGUUCGGCGGCGUGCAUCCUUGGGUGGAAUCUGUGUGGCAUUAGGUUGUCGUGCAGGGGAUGCUCAUCGUUUACUGUGAAAAAAUUAGAGUGUUCAAAGCAGGCUUACGCCGUUGAAUAUAUUAGCAUGGAAUAAUAAGAUAGGACCUUGGUACUAUUUUGUUGGUUUGCGCACCGAGGUAAUGAUUAACAGGGACAGUUGGGGGUAUUCGUAUUCCAUUGUCAGAGGUGAAAUUCUUGGAUUUCUGGAAGACGAACUACUGCGAAAGCAUUUACCAAGGAUGUUUUCAUUAA
rnacentral:rRNA from 1 species